UGCAAUGAUUUCAUAAUUUGUGACUUAGUCUGUUCUCAGUGACAGUUUGCUGUUGUCAGGAAACUGGUUUGGAUGAGGAGGUUGACAACAAUUGUUACUGAGCA
ensembl:snoRNA SNORD16 Small nucleolar RNA SNORD16